rnacentral:rRNA from 1 species
AGAGUUUGAUCAUGGCUCAGAUUGAACGCUGGCGGCAUGCCUUACACAUGCAAGUCGAACGGCAGCACGGGAGCUUGCUCCUGGUGGCGAGUGGCGAACGGGUGAGUAAUAUAUCGGAACGUACCCUAGAGUGGGGGAUAACGUAGCGAAAGUUACGCUAAUACCGCAUACGAUCUACGGAUGAAAGUGGGGGAUCGCAAGACCUCAUGCUCAUGGAGCGGCCGAUAUCUGAUUAGCUAGUUGGUGGGGUAAAAGCUCACCAAGGCGACGAUCAGUAGCUGGUCUGAGAGGACGACCAGCCACACUGGAACUGAGACACGGUCCAGACUCCUACGGGAGGCAGCAGUGGGGAAUUUUGGACAAUGGGCGCAAGCCUGAUCCAGCAAUGCCGCGUGAGUGAAGAAGGCCUUCGGGUUGUAAAGCUCUUUUGUCAGGGAAGAAACGGUUCGGGCUAAUAUCCUGUGCUAAUGACGGUACCUGAAGAAUAAGCACCGGCUAACUACGUGCCAGCAGCCGCGGUAAUACGUAGGGUGCAAGCGUUAAUCGGAAUUACUGGGCGUAAAGCGUGCGCAGGCGGUUGUGCAAGACAGAUGUGAAAUCCCCGGGCUCAACCUGGGAAUUGCAUUUGUGACUGCACGGCUAGAGUGUGUCAGAGGGGGGUAGAAUUCCACGUGUAGCAGUGAAAUGCGUAGAGAUGUGGAGGAAUACCGAUGGCGAAGGCAGCCCCCUGGGAUAACACUGACGCUCAUGCACGAAAGCGUGGGGAGCAAACAGGAUUAGAUACCCUGGUAGUCCACGCCCUAAACGAUGUCUACUAGUUGUCGGGUCUUAAUUGACUUGGUAACGCAGCUAACGCGUGAAGUAGACCGCCUGGGGAGUACGGUCGCAAGAUUAAAACUCAAAGGAAUUGACGGGGACCCGCACGAGCGGUGGAUGAUGUGGAUUAAUUCGAUGCAACGCGAAAAACCUUACCUACCCUUGACAUGUCUGGAAUCCUUGAGAGAUCAGGGAGUGCUCGAAAGAGAAUCAGAACACAGGUGCUGCAUGGCUGUCGUCAGCUCGUGUCGUGAGAUGUUGGGUUAAGUCCCGCAACGAGCGCAACCCUUGUCAUUAGUUGCUACGAAAGGGCACUCUAAUGAGACUGCCGGUGACAAACCGGAGGAAGGUGGGGAUGACGUCAAGUCCUCAUGGCCCUUAUGGGUAGGGCUUCGCACGUCAUACAAUGGUACAUACAGAGGGCCGCCAACCCGCGAGGGGGAGCUAAUCCCAGAAAGUGUAUCGUAGUCCGGAUUGUAGUCUGCAACUCGACUACAUGAAGUUGGAAUCGCUAGUAAUCGCGGAUCAGCAUGUCGCGGUGAAUACGUUCCCGGGUCUUGUACACACCGCCCGUCACACCAUGGGAGCGGGUUUCACCAGAAGUGGGUAGCCUAACCGCAAGGAGGGCGCUCACCACGGUGGGAUUCGUGACUGGGGUGAAGUCGUAACAAGGUA